AAUGAACGCUGGCGGCAGGCCUAACACAUGCAAGUCGAACGGAUCCUUCGGGAUUAGUGGCGGACGGGUGAGUAACGCGUGGGAACAUACCCAAAGGUACGGAAUAGCCUCGGGAAACUGGGGGUAAUACCGUAUGUGCUCGACGGGGGAAAGAUUUAUCGCCAUUGGAUUGGCCCGCGUCUGAUUAGGUAGUUGGUGAGGUAAAGGCUCACCAAGGCGACGAUCAGUAGCUGGUCUGAGAGGAUGAUCAGCCACAUUGGGACUGAGACACGGCCCAAACUCCUACGGGAGGCAGCAGUGGGGAAUCUUGCGCAAUGGGCGAAAGCCUGACGCAGCCAUGCCGCGUGAAUGAUGAAGGUCUUAGGAUUGUAAAAUUCUUUCACCGGGGACGAUAAUGACGGUACCCGGAGAAGAAGCCCCGGCUAACUUCGUGCCAGCCGCCGCGGUAA
rnacentral:rRNA from 1 species